rnacentral:rRNA from 1 species
CAAAUAUUUAUAGGAUUAAGAUGGGCAUGCGUGUCAUUAGCUAGUUGGCGGGGUAACGGCCCACCAAGGCGACGAUGACUAGGGGAUCUGAGAGGAUGACCCCCCACACUGGUACUGAGACACGGACCAGACUCCUACGGGAGGCAGCAGUAAGGAAUAUUGGUCAAUGGAGGCAACUCUGAACCAGCCAUGCCGCGUGCAGGAAGACAGCCCUCUGGGUCGUAAACUGCUUUUAUUCGGGAAUAAACCACAUUACGUGUAAUGUGCUGAAUGUACCGAAGGAAUAAGGAUCGGCUAACUCCGUGCCAGCAGCCGCGGUAAUACGGAGGAUCCAAGCGUUAUCCGGAUUUAUUGGGUUUAAAGGGUGCGUAGGCGGCUUAUUAAGUCAGGGGUGAAAGACGGUGGCUCAACCAUCGCAGUGCCUUUGAUACUGAUGAGCUUGAAUACACUAGAGGUAGGCGGAAUGUGACAAGUAGCGGUGAAAUGCAUAGAUAUGUCACAGAACACCGAUUGCGAAGGCAGCUUACUAUGGUGUGAUUGACGCUGAGGCACGAAAGCGUGGGGAUCAAACAGGAUUAGAUACCCUGGUAGUCCACGCCCUAAACGAUGAAUACUCGCUGUUAGCGAUAUACAGUUAGCGGCUAAGCGAAAGCGUUAAGUAUUCCACCUGGGGAGUACGCCCGCAAGGGUGAAACUCAAAGGAAUUGACGGGGGCCCGCACAAGCGGAGGAGCAUGUGGUUUAAUUCGAUGAUACGCGAGGAACCUUACCCGGGCUUGAAAGUUAGUGAAUCAUUUAGAGAUAGAUGAGUCCGCAAGGACACGAAACUAGGUGCUGCAUGGCUGUCGUCAGCUCGUGCCGUGAGGUGUUGGGUUAAGUCCCGCAACGAGCGCAACCCCUAUGUUUAGUUGCCAGCACGUUAUGGUGGGGACUCUAAACAGACUGCCUGUGCAAACAGAGAGGAAGGAGGGGACGACGUCAAGUCAUCAUGGCCCUUACGUCCGGGGCUACACACGUGCUACAAUGGAUGGUACAGAGGGCAGCAAGCUGGCAACAGCAAGCGAAUCUCAAAAAGCCAUUCACAGUUCGGAUAGAGGUCUGCAACUCGACCUCUUGAAGUUGGAUUCGCUAGUAAUCGCGUAUCAGCAAUGACGCGGUGAAUACGUUCCCGGGCCUUGUACACACCGCCCGUCAAGCCAUGGAAGUUGGGGGUACCUAAAGUAUGUAACCGUAAGGAGCGUCCUAGGGUAAAACCGAUAACUGGGGCUAAGUCGUAACAAGGUA